rnacentral:rRNA from 1 species
GACGAACGCUGGCGGCGUGCUUAACACAUGCAAGUCGAACGGAAAGGCUCCAGCUUGCUGGAGUACUCGAGUGGCGAACGGGUGAGUAACACGUGGGUAAUCUGCCCUGCACUCUGGGAUAAGCCUGGGAAACUGGGUCUAAUACUGGAUAUGACCUUUCUCCUUAUGGGGUUUGGUGGAAAGUUUUUCGGUGUAGGAUGAGCCCGCGGCCUAUCAGCUUGUUGGUGGGGUGAUGGCCUACCAAGGCGACGACGGGUAGCCGGCCUGAGAGGGUGAUCGGCCACAUUGGGACUGAGAUACGGCACAGACUCCUACGGGAGGCAGCAGUGGGGAAUAUUGCACAAUGGGCGGAAGCCUGAUGCAGCGACGCCGCGUGAGGGAUGACGGCCUUCGGGUUGUAAACCUCUUUCAGCAGGGACGAAGCGUAAGUGACGGUACCUGCAGAAGAAGCACCGGCUAACUAUGUG